GGCCGCUGAUGUGGCUGGAGGACUCGGGGCUCCUGUCCAGGCACCACGAGACAGGUCACACCCCGCCCGGAUGCUGUGUCUGCCUGGGAGCAGCGGUAGCUGGAGCUCACUCAAGGUGCUGCGUGCAUGGUUGCUGAACUGCCUGGUGACCCGACAAAGGCCUCUGGCCUCAGGAUCACCAACCACCAGGCCCACACGAAGAGUUAAACCACAGCGGAAGGACACGCAAGAUCGAAUCCCAUCCCGGAAGUCUGCCAUCCUCUUAACACAUGGGAGCUACUCCAGGUGUGGCCUUCAAGGGUGGGGGACCCUGAAGAAGCACACAGAUCCUGAGGGCGGAGGCCUCAGCCGAGCUGCCACACCCAGCGCAAGGGUUCUGGGAGGUGAGUCGGGCGCUCCGUGUCCGUCACCCCCUCCCCAUGCCACUGAAGGCGUCUCUGACACAUGGAGGUGGUUGUGCUUGGGGAGAAACACCUUCAGCCUAGAUGCCAGCCGGUCAGCUCCUUGCAGUGGUGUCGUGGCCAGCGCCCACUCCCAGAGCCCCAGCACCUGCCCCGCGAGGCGUGGUCCCAGAGCCUCUGCCCACAGACUGGAUGGCACGUGGCCAGAAAGAAGAGUGCCCAUGCUCGCACAUACACACACCUCUUCUCUCGGCUCCUGA
rnacentral:lncRNA from 1 species